ensembl:snoRNA
ACUGCCCCUAGAGGCGUUGCAGAUAUGGCUGCUGUGUCACAUUUGUGUCAUUAGGUGGCAGAGAGAAGAGAGGCUGGCCUACGCUCAGCGUUCUGGUCCGUGAACGUCUGGAUGGUUAAUAGUCUGACACU